CGGCAGUGCUACACAUGCAAGUGAGCGCGCCUUCGGGUGAGCGGCGGACGGGUUAGUACCGACGUGCCUUCUCUACGGAAUAGCCUCUGGAAACGGAGAGUAAUACCGUAUACGCCCUUUGGGGGAAAGAUUUAUCGGAGAAGGAUCGGCCCGCGUUAGAUUAGGUAGUUGGUGGGGUAACGGCCUACCAAGCCUACGAUCUAUAGCUGGUUUUAGAGGAUGAUCAGCAACACUGGGACUGAGACACGGCCCAGACUCCUACGGGAGGCAGCAGUGGGGAAUCUUAGACAAUGGGGGCAACCCUGAUCUAGCAUGCGCGUGAGUAUGACGCUUCGGUCGUAAAGCCUUUCGCCUGUGAUAUAUGACGAGACGUACGAAACCCGCUAAAUCCUGCCGCGCCGGGUAUACGCAGG
rnacentral:rRNA from 1 species